GCUGGAUCCUCAGCCUGGUGUGCUACCCACUGAGUCAGCAAGUGGUGCUGUGCCAUGAUAACAACGGGGAAAAGCUGAGGUUGUACAUAUCUGCACUGUCUACUGUGACUGCAGAUUCAUUCCUAGAGAACACACCUGGGAGCUGAGUGAUGCCAGUGUCUCAAAUCUGAUGACAGACACUCUACAGAAAUAAAGUUAAUAAGCAGACACUGUAUUUGAAUCGACUUCAGUUUCCAGACUAAUUGCCAAUUCUCAAGAACAUCUCAAGUUCAAAGGCCCAACUGUUAGAAGUUCCUCUGAAAAGAGCACAUUCACUGUAAUAAUUGCUCACCUGG